rnacentral:tRNA from 1 species
GAGGGUAUAGCUCAGAGAUAGAGUGUGUGCCUCAUAAGCACAAGGUUUUGGGUUCAACCCCCAGUACCUCCA